rnacentral:rRNA from 1 species
GUGCCAGCAGCCGCGGUAAAACGUAGGAGCCAAGCGUUAUCCGAAUUUACUGGGCGUAAAGCGCGUGCAGGCGGCUCGAUAAGUUGGCUGUGAAAUCUCCUGGCUCAACUGGGAGAGGCCGGUCAAGACUGUCGGGCUGGAGGGCAGUAGAGGGAGGUGGAAUUCCCGGUGUAGUGGUGAAAUGCGUAGAGAUCGGGAGGAACACCAGUGGCGAAAGCGGCCUCCUAGGCUGUACCUGACGCUCAGACGCGAAAGCUAGGGGAGCAAACGGGAUUAGAAACCCGCGUAGUCC